CAUGGACAUGGCCAAUGCUGGGGACAUGUGCAAGGAUGAGGCCAUAGAAGCGGGCAUAGAGAGCAUUGCUUCGUUCUUGUGGUUGGGAGGAAUGCCGUAGAGUGACGCCAAGUGCUUUUCGGUCAUCCCUGCCAUGGCCUCCAGGCCCAUCUGGUUGACCUCCGCCUGCUGGUCGCCCACACCUUCCUCCCUGACGUAGUGCAGUUCACGGGCACUAGUGAUCACGCUGCUCCUGGUAGGGGUGCCGGGCCCAUCGCGGUUCUUGUCAGGUUCUCCGCUGCGCUCGCCGUUGCUGGAGGCGCUGGAUUCCAUGGCUUUUGGGUUCUCGUGUUCUCCGCUCUCAUCUACUUGCAUCAUCUCCGUCUUGAUCUCUCCCAUCAUGGGGUGGGAGUUGCCGUGCAGGGGCUGUUCGGCACCCGCGCCGGGGUGCAUGGUUCUCUGCAGGAGGGACUGGCCGAUGCUCAUCAGGCUGUCCACGGCUGCUUUCGUUGGGCUCAUGGUGGAGAGGCCGAAGGAGGUGGAGACAGAAGGACUCUGAUCCACCAUUCCUGGCAGCGUCAGUGCUUGCUGGGCAGCCGACAUGUAGCUGCCCUCCUCCACGGAAUGCUUUUUCGGGUUCCUGCCAUGCCGUCCCUUGCGCUCCUCAUCGUCUUCUGCGCCUCCGUCGUUCAUGUUGACCUCCGUGUCAUUUUCAUCCGAGGACUGGAUGGUCUCCAGUAUCUUCAGGCAUUGCUCCUCCAAGUACUCUAUUUCUAAGAUUUCUGCUGCAUAAAGCAGGUCAUCCAGAUCCUCCACUUUAGCUUGGAGCAUGGCAGUGUAGGCAUACUCCAGAAUCUGCUGGAAGGUCUUUGGUGAGAGAAAGUCGAGAGUGUAAUGUUGGCUGUUCCGGUGAAAGAGGAUCUCAAACAUCUUACUGGUGCAGGCCAGCACGGUCCGGUGAGCGUGGAACUCCUGGCUGUCCACCAUGAUGACCACGUCACACAGCGUGCCGGCCAGGCGCAUCUGAUUAGCCUUGUGCAGCAGGGCAUUGGGGUGAUUGGGGUUCUGGAGCUGGAUCAUACCCAUUUUAGUCAAAUCCAUAACGUCUCUGAAAUCCACACGGCCAACUCAUGAGUCUUUCUUUCCACGUAGCAGUCUGUUCAGUUAUCUUUGUAAACAAGAUAAGGUCAAUCUAGAAAGAGAUGAAAGAGAGACCCACAGUUAGAUGAUUUCUUUGAUCU
rnacentral:lncRNA from 1 species